CCUACGGGGAGCAGCAGUGAGGAAUAUUGGUCAAUGGACGAGAGUCUGAACCAGCCAAGUAGCGUGAAGGAUGACUGCCCUAUGGGUUGUAAACUUCUUUUAUAUGGGAAUAAAACGUUCCACGUGUGGGAUUUUGUAUGUACCAUAUGAAUAAGGAUCGGCUAACUCCGUGCCAGCAGCCGCGGUAAUACGGAGGAUCCGAGCGUUAUCCGGAUUUAUUGGGUUUAAAGGGAGCGUAGGUGGAUUGUUAAGUCAGUUGUGAAAGUUUGCGGCUCAACCGUAAAAUUGCAGUUGAAACUGGCAGUCUUGAGUACAGUAGAGGUGGGCGGAAUUCGUGGUGUAGCGGUGAAAUGCUUAGAUAUCACGAAGAACUCCGAUUGCGAAGGCAGUUCACUGGACUGAAACUGACACUGAGGCUCGAAAGUGUGGGUAUCAAACAGGAUUAGAUACCCGGGUAGUC
rnacentral:rRNA from 1 species